rnacentral:rRNA from 1 species
AUUGAACGCUGGCGGCAGGCCUAACACAUGCAAGUCGAACGAGUGGCGGACGGGUGAGUACUGUCUGGGAAACUGCCCGAUGGAGGGGGAUAACUACAGGAAACGGUAGCUAAUACCGCGUACCAUCGGAUGUGCCCAGAUGGGAUUAGCUUGUAGGUGAGGUAACGGCUCACCUAGGCGACGAUCCCGAGCUGGUCUGAGAGGAUGACCAUCGACACUGGAACUGCGACACGGUCUGGACUCUUACGGGAGGCAGUGGUGGUGUAUAUUGCACAAUGGGGGGAGGCCUGAUGCAGCCAGGCCGCGUGUAUGAAGAAGGCCUUCGGGUUGUAAAGUACUUGCAGCGGGGAGGCGUUACCCGCAGAAGAAGCACCGGCUAACUCCGUGCCAGCAGCCGCGGUAAUAC